GGUUGCGCCGCCCUCUUUCCCGAUCCAGCCGUCGAAGCGUUAGCACUGUUCAGCUCGUAUCUAGUGUAGCUAGGUUAUUUAGUGAUAGGUUAUAGUUGUGUUUAGCGUGGUUUAGUUUGGUAAUUUAGCUGUGUAAAUUAUUGUUCAUAAAUGAUUAAGUAAAUAAGUUUGUAAAUAUUAAUUGAUUAAAGGUUGUAGGUAACAUGUG